rnacentral:rRNA from 1 species
UACGUAGGGUCCGAGCGUUGUCCGGAAUUAUUGGGCGUAAAGAGCUCGUAGGCGGUUCGUCGCGUCGGCUGUGAAAUCCCGAGGCUCAACCUCGGGUCUGCAGUCGAUACGGGCGGACUGGAGUUCGGCAGGGGAGACUGGAAUUCCUGGUGUAGCGGUGAAAUGCGCAGAUAUCAGGAGGAACACCGGUGGCGAAGGCGGGUCUCUGGGCCGAUACUGACGCUGAGGGGCGAAAGCGUGGGGAGCGAACAGG